UGUGUGUGUGUGUGUGUGUGUGUGUGUGUGUGUGUGUGUGUGUGUGUGUGUGUGUGUGUGUGUGUGUGUGUGUGUGUGUGUGUGUGUGUGUAGUUUACUCCUGUUUACAAAAUGUAACAAAUUUCUUCAUGUAAAAUUGUACAAAUCUAUAACAGAUAGUUCAACAAAACCAACCGACGUCCGUAUGUACAGGGGGGCCGGGGGGGAAGGGGGGGGUCCUGGAGACUGGGGGUCCUGGGGACUAGCUGGUCCUGGAGACUGGGGGGUUCUGGUCCGCUGGAGUCCGGACCUUCCACUUCCAGCUUUGGCACUCGGAUAAACCGUCCGGCAUUCCUUAGCCUGUUUCCACGGCAACCCAGGUCAUGCGUGACACCCUUUCCGCCCCUCACCCCCUCACCCCCCCAUCGCCUCACCACCCAGGUCUGGUGUCUGUGCUGAGGGGGGUCUUAAAGGGGCGGUGAUACAGGCAUAUUAAAUGGAGGUGGCUGGGAGUUCUUAAAGUGGUGGAAUACGGGGGUCCUUAAAGGGGAGGUUCAGGCGGGUCUUAAAGGGGAGGUUCAGGCUGGUCUUAAAGGGGAGGUUCAGGCUGGUCUUAAAGGGGAGGUUCAGGGGUUUAAGGUGCAGGCAUCGUGCUCAGUGGGGGGGGGAUAAUCCAGGAGGUUGAGGGUUCGAAUCCCCGAACGACGCGCUCCGAAAGCGUCCGGCAUCGUCCCGGACUAGUUGAUAGGUCUGUUGCUAUGGGAACCUCCCCAUGCACGGCAUUAUGGGAUGUGACCCACACUAAGUGGUUUCCUUCGUUAUAAAAAAAAACGCUCAUCCUCUUCAUCUUCCUCGUCUUCAUCUGGUGGGCCUGGCGUUGUCAUGGAGACAGCAGUGACCCUGGGAGGGAACACACCAGAUAUGAUCAUUAAAACACUGUGAAGAC
ensembl:lncRNA